AAUUUUGUUUGCCACCAACACUUAGUCAGUUUCCCACGCGACUAUACUUGGUCAAUUUUCUCUCUCAAACCCUAAACAACACGACACCACGACUAUACUUCGUUUGCCCCUCCGACCAGCACCCGACUGCUCUCUGCCUCAGCCACCGCCUCCGCUAUCUUCCUCCUCCUCUUCCUUUGGCACACCUGUUCUCUCAUCUCUCUUCUCAAAUUCACCAGAUCUGCUAAAGACGCAGUCCACGCCGGAGCUCCGCCUUGCCCCUCCUCCUUCUCUUUUCUCCUUCCACCCCGACGGUUUUGGGGGUUGUGUUUGAGGUAUCUGUAAUGGGUUUUGAGGUAGCUGUAAUGUGUUUGAGAAGCUAAGGGCCUUCUUCUUCUUCACAGAGAACUAGAAAGAGAAUGGGAAUCUCUCAAGGCCUCAAUCAUCUUCUCCAGGUAAUAAUCAAUCUGAGGUAUGUAGGAGACAAGGGGAAACGAUCAGUAGGGGCCACAAAAAUUAUGAACUCAUGCUCAAUUUGCAGCUUGGAAUUAGGCAUUCUGUUGGAAGACCAGGGCCGUCUGGAUCCCUUGAUCUAAAGCCUUGGGCUUUCGACCCCAGAGAAAAAUAUUGGACAAGGUUUCCUCCUGAAGAAUCCAAAUACACUCCACCACACCAAUCUUGUGAAUUUAAAUGGAAGGAUUAUUGUCCUUUAGUCUUCAGAACUCUUAGGAAGUUGUUCAAGGUGGAUGCAGCUGACUACAUGCUCUCUAUCUGUGAGAACGAUGCUCUUCGAGAACUUUCUUCUCCUGGUAAAAGUGGUAACUUCUUUUACUUGACUAAUGAUGACCGAUACGUGAUUAAAACAAUGAAGAAAGCAGAAGUAAAAGUUCUUAUAAGGAUGCUCUCUGCCUAUUACAACCAUGUUCGAGCAUACGAGAAUACGCUGGUCACUAAAUUUUAUGGUCUACACUGCUAAAUCUAACUUUGCAACCUAUUCAAAAAAAGGUGCGAUUUAUUAUUAUGGGAAAUCUGUUUUGUUCUGAAUAUACCAUUCAUCGACAUUUUGACUUGAAGGGAUCUUCCCUCAGUUGAACAACAGAUAAGACUGAGACAGAAAUUGAUGAAAUGACCAUACUUAAAGACCUAGAUCUUAACUUUAUAUUUCGACUUCAGAAGUCAUGGUUUCAAGAGUUCUGCAGGUGAACUGGUCUUUUGUUUUCUGUAUUUCGUUUUCUAGUGACAUUUUAAAGCAAUUACAAUUUCAAAUGACAAUUUUUAUUUUUUUGCAAAUUGAGGAGUUGUAUUCAUUGGACAUUGAUUCUCUGAACAAUUUGAGGUAUGUCAAUAGCUGUUUAAGCUUUCGCCACCUUGUUAGAUAUAUUUAUAUAAUCUAUUUUAAGUUUAUAUCUUACUGCCACUGUUUUAAGUUUAUAUCUUACUGCAAGCUAGUGAUACUGAUCACCAUGCUGAAGUUAGUGUAAGUCUACAACUUCACUCACCAUACCCAUUUUACAUAACACUGUUCUAAGGAGUUCAAUUCUAUGUAUUCUGUCUCUAUAUACAUUAUAAAGCUAUCAUCUUUAAUUAUUUACCUUCCACAAUCUCUUCCCAUAAUAUACCGCUUGGCCAAGGCACAAAUCUCUUUGGUUACAGAUGCUAAUGUUAUCAUAUGCAUAUUGCUAUGAUUAUUCUGAAAUGCUUGCGUAAUGCCGUAAUGGUGUUCAUGCUGAAAUACAAGUAACGAAGAUGAAUAUAUUGUUCAUGCCGUAAUGGUAUUCUAUGUGUCUUGCUCUGUAUCCCAAUUCUAAUUGUUGGGUGGUCAUGCACUCGCAACUAAGAAAAAAGUCUUGCAUCAGUUUUUCAUCUUCUGUGACUAUUAUCAUAGCCCUUGCUCUAAAUGGAGACCAUACCCACAACUCUUUGUUAAACAUAUUAUGAAUGAUAUUUACAGUUCUUUGUUUGGCAGUUGAUGUAAAAGCCCAUUAAUGCAUACUAGGCCAAAGAAAGUUGGCUGUUCUAUUUUAUUCCAAAUGAAGUAAACUAUGCAGCUGAAUUUGAUAAUAUAAGAUGGAAAUCCAAAUGUUCUGUUCAGGAUAAUUCUUGACGAUGAUCAGGUCUAAACUGUCCUUUGGAAUGUGCGAACACUAAUUAAUUUACCUGUCAAAGAGUUGUGCCUGAUAUCCUCUCUUCAAUUUGCAGGGAUUGAGAAGGGAGUUCUUUCCAAACAAAAGACAUGAAUGAGCUGUUAGAGUUCCACAAGAAAUUAGAAUCCAUUCUUGAACAUUUGACUAAUUGAGACACAGGUUAGUAUAAAUAAUCUUCCACUUUUGUUGUUAUUGUUUGUUAAUCUUCAUUUUCAUUAUAAUUACAUAAUAUGCCAUUUCCAAAGUAAAAUAAUUCUCUAUAUGUUUCUGUAUAUUACCAGCUUCAACAUUUUUCGAUAGCUUUUGCAAUGACCAUAAAAUGAUGCACCUACAAUAUCUACAGAGAUUGGAAGGAGUUCUAUAGGUUUCAACAGUACAUCAACACUAUUAAUGAUCUGUAGCUAGCUUUCUGUAUCAAUGUUCACACCUUUUGUAGUUACAGUUGCCACUGAUUUUGGAGUGAAACCUACUUUUUCUUUGGGUAAACAUAAACAUACUAUGUAAUAUUAAAAGAUCAAUUGUAUUAAAACUUUAACUAUCAUAUAACAAUAAUUCCCGCAACAAAGCGCGGGCUCACUUUCUAGUUAUAUUUAAUUUUCUAGUUAUAUUUAAUUUCUAAGAUUUUGGACAGAACCAAGUGCUACCUAAAGCUUCUUCGGUGGAAAUGGCGAACACAGAGAGGUAUGCGUGUAAACUGCUUAAUAACAGACAAGUAGGUCAGUUUUCUAUAAGCUGUCUGACAGAUCAUCUUAUAUUAAGAUUACUUUGUAUUGUUUCCUUAAUCAUUGGAGAAAAGAAGGGGAAAUUUGAAGUGCAUGUUUAUGCAAGCGGCAUUUCUCUUUUUGCCGAUAGCCAUGAUUUUAUAUGUUACCCAGAUCAGAAUGACAAGGAUUUGGAUCGGGCGAGUGAGAGGCAGGAUCUUGAAGGAAAGGAGCUAAAGUAAGAAACUACUUUGCAUGAACUGGAGCCGGUUGCCGUCCGUGCUCUUCAUGAACUUGUUUCUUUAGUUCAUAGUCAUGUCAAUGCUGCAGAGCAAUAUGAUUUUGAGUAAGGCAAGAUUUUGCUGACCAUUUUGUAGUAGAUGUAGUGAUAUCAGGAUGAAUUGUGAACAAAUUAUACUGCAUGUAGUUAUUGCAGUAGUGGUAUUUUCUAGACUAGCCUUAAAGUAGGUUAGGGUUUAUUGUGCAAAACUUUUGAAGCUACCUCAAGCUCUAAUUUUGGAUAGAAAUUAAUGCAAUUCCCCAAUAUUUGAAUUUCAUGUUA